GCCCUCACGUGAUGCAGAAAUGCCCUGGGAUGACCGUGACCUGCCCGGGUUGUAUUCGUACUGUCUGACGGAGGC